rnacentral:misc_RNA from 1 species
AUCUAAAAAUAAAUAACACUGUAUAAAAAAUAAAAAUAAAAGAUGCCCCUGCACAGGCAGUGUCAAUCAAAUCCCUUAAAUAACUUACUCAUUGGCAGCUUGUGGACAUAGCCUAAAAAAUCAUUACCAAAGAUCACCCAAUUCAUAAUACACCAGUAUUGGAUAUUAAUAUAAUAGGCUUAUCAAUAGGAACUUGUAAUGAUUGAUUAAGUGCAUAAAACCAGGGUAAGCCGUCAUAAUAUUUGAACUCAAAAAUCAUAAUUUAGAGCCAUAUUGCUGAACAAUUUAGAAUCAGUGACAUGAAGGACCAACUGGGGGCCAAAAAAUAUGAAAUUGUAUAAGAGAGAAAAUAAAAUAAGCAUGAUACAUAUUAACUCACCUAUGAUUCUCAGCAAGCUUGU